rnacentral:rRNA from 1 species
GCCUGGGGAGUACGACCGCAAGGUUGAAACUCAAAGGAAUUGACGGGGGCCCGCACAAGCGGUGGAGCAUGUGGUUUAAUUCGAAGCAACGCGAAGAACCUUACCAGGUCUUGACAUCCUUUGACCACUCUGGAGACAGAGCUUUCCCUUCGGGGACAAAGUGACAGGUGGUGCAUGGUUGUCGUCAGCUCGUGUCGUGAGAUGUUGGGUUAAGUCCCGCAACGAGCGCAACCCUUGAUUUUAGUUGCCAGCAUUUAGUUGGGCACUCUAAAGUGACUGCCGGUGCAAGCCGGAGGAAGGUGGGGAUGACGUCAAAUCAUCAUGCCCCUUAUGACCUGGGCUACACACGUGCUACAAUGGAUAGUACAAAGGGUCGCGAAGCCGCGAGGUGGAGCUAAUCCCAUAAAACUAUUCUCAGUUCGGAUUGUAGGCUGCAACUCGCCUACAUGAAGCCGGAAUCGCUAGUAAUCGUGGAUCAGCAUGCCACGGUGAAUACGUUCCCGGGCCUUGUACACACCGCCCGUCACACCACGAGAGUUUGUAACACCCGAAGUCGGUAGGGUAACCUUUAUGGAGCCAGCCGCCGAAGGUGGGACAGAUAAUUGGGGUGAAGUCGUAACAAGGUAGCCGUAUCGGAAGGUGCGGCUGGAUCACCUCCUUUCUAAGGAA